CCGGAGAAGCUGGAGUUGAGAUGACCACGGCCACCAUCAGGACCUACAAGAGAAAUCUAAACCGGAGUUGGGGGUGCUCCAACAAGACCCUCUGACGCUCAAGUCAGUACUCUGCUUCAACAGAAAUGGAGCACUCAAAUGAGAUUUUGGCAGAGUUUCGAGAUAGAGUUUAGAGCUUAGAGAAGAACGUAUCUGGAGGUCUCCU
rnacentral:lncRNA from 1 species